UACGUAGGGUGCGAGCGUUGUCCGGAAUUAUUGGGCGUAAAGAGCGUGUAGGCGGUUUGUCGCGUCUGCUGUGAAAUCUCAAGGCUCAACCUUGAGCUUGCAGUGGGUACGGGCAGACUAGAGUGUGGUAGGGGAGACUGGAAUUCCUGGUGUAGCGGUGAAAUGCGCAGAUAUCAGGAGGAACACCGAUGGCGAAGGCAGGUCUCUGGGCCACUACUGACGCUGAGAAGCGAAAGCAUGGGGAGCGAACAGG
rnacentral:rRNA from 1 species